UUUUUUUUUUUUUUGAAACUCUAGUUCUAUUGUGGCAAUGAAGAAAGCAGGGGAUUCUAUAUCGACCCGGUUCAGCACUUCUGGAUUGGAUGGGAAGGUAGUUAUAUGGGAUCUAAAGAGCCAAGAAGACCUGUCAGAAUAUUUUUGAGUUCGAGAAAAUACUUGCAGCCCAGUAGCCAGUUGGGGAACUAUGUUUUAUGGGAUGAUUUAAAGAUGCUAGUGAAGUACAGUAUAUUAUGAAUUUAUACUUCCUUGGACAAGUAAUAAAAUUGCUUGGUAGAAUAGCUCUCUUUGUACACAAUUUGCAAGAAACCUCUUGAUCAUGACUAUUUAAGCUCGUUAAUCACAUGGAAUAACUACUGUUGGCAUUCCCAGUUUUUUACUAUAGUCUAUAUAUAUGAUUGAAGGAUGAAUAUUUACUU